rnacentral:tRNA from 1 species
UGCGGGGUGGUGUAACGGUAGCACAGAGGCCUUUGGAGCCUUUGAUCCUGGUUCGAAUCCAGGCCCCGCAG